rnacentral:rRNA from 1 species
UACGGGGGGGGCAAGCGUUGUUCGGAAUUAUUGGGCGUAAAGGGCUCGUAGGCGGUUUGUCGCGUCGGGAGUGAAAACUCAGGGCUUAACCCUGAGCCUGCUUCCGAUACGGGCAGACUAGAGGUAUGCAGGGGAGAACGGAAUUCCUGGUGUAGCGGUGAAAUGCGCAGAUAUCAGGAGGAACACCGAUGGCGAAGGCAGGUCUCUGGGCAUUAACUGACGCUGAGGAGCGAAAGCAUGGGGAGCGAACAGG